AAAUGAACUUAUAUUUCAUUCACAUUUGCCUCACCUUUUCUCUUUCUCUUUUCAAAUCACUAUUCAAAUCCAUGAUUCAAACAUAAAAAAGAUCCGACUUUUUUUUUUUCAUCUCCAUUGUUUACGGGCACCAAUCUUGGAUAGCUACAGACUUCCAGUACAUCAAUCAGCAAAUAUUUUUUAAGAAUUUCAACAUUACUUAUUUCCACUGUUCUCCUUUCUGUUCUUCACUCCUACCCCCAAUUCUUCACAUAUAUAUGUCUAUCUGCAUUUACUGUGGCAACAUUUGUAACAAUAUGAAUGUAUGUAAAAAUAGUUUAGUUUCCUGUAAACCACUGUGUGAUUACCAUAGAUUGUGUGUGAAAUUUGCGAUCGCAUGCAAGGGAAGAAGGGGACCUCAUCCGAAGUGCCAUUAAAGUUCGAAAAAAAGUCUAUGUGCACAUAAAGUACUUGACACAGAAUGUACAAAUGUGAGACAAAAUAUUCGCAACUAUAAAUGUGAAAAUAUUUGUGAA